UUACCUUACGUUCACCUUUCAACUGCUAGGAAUCAGGCAUAUGUCACCAUACCCUGUCAGAAGUCUGAUUAUUUUUUGUUUGAUUUUUUUUCAAAACAGGGCUUCUCUAUAUAGUGUAGCCCUGGCUGUUCUUGACCUAGCUCCCCACCCUGCGGAUUCUGGGGUUCAGGUCAUUUAACAAUCACCCUGAUUUACCCAUCUUUCAAGUCCAGCUCUUCUAGGCCCUCUCCUCUGUAAACCCCUCUCCUACCCACUCUUUAUCUCUUCCUGUUUCCUCUGGUCAGGUGCAUCUAGGGCUACUCUAGUUCAAAGAAGGAGGUAGACUUUUAGGUGAUUACAUCUCAGCAUUUCUGCUUUUUGUAUCCUGUUGGAAGCCAGUGCAGGACAAUGUAGUCUCACUGGACCCAUGGUUGUUUGAAGACUCAGCUUGUCAGACUAGUUGUGUGGCUUUUACUCCCUGGAGGGAGGAGCAGAGAGAGAGCUUGGGGCUCUCAGUGAACACUCUUGCUUUUGUGCACACUAUAUCAGAGGGAGAAGGUAAGUUGGUGUAUACUCUGUGAGCGUGGGUUUGGCUUUGUCCUGCUCUCCAGAGAUCCUGUAGCAAACAUCUCCCUGUCAGCAGAAGCUAAAGGAGCAAUGGAGUCAGUUCUCUGUCUUAGUGGCCCAGGCAGCUGGCUGCCUCAGUCAAAAAGAAGAUGAUGUGGUCGGUGUUUGCUGUUGGCAGAGUACCUAUGUGACUUAUUAAAUCUUUCAGUAGCUGUAUGGCAGGGUAGCUGAGAGAAAGAGAGAGAGAGUGAGUAUCUUUAUCCCUUCAAAUAUGAAACUAAACUUCCUCUUGAUAAAACUGACUCAGUGGACAGAAAGGGUACAGCGAAAGGCGAAUGUGUCAGAGUCCAUUGUGUGUUCCCCCUCACGCAGGCUGAAGCUAGUUUCCAUGGUGGGUGGUUUAUUAUACAUUUAUGUUCAGCUGAGCCUGCUCCAGGUUACUGCUGUAGAUAGAAAAGUCUUUCAGGGGGGAGGGUACUGUGUUUCCAUUAAACUGUAAAAUAGAGAAAGGUUUCUUGAAAGUGGUCACUUAGGUAGCAAAAUGAGGGGCCACUGGCUACAGAGUAGGUUUGCAUUUUAUAGCCAACCAGCUUCUUAUGUAACUUGAGUUGGGGCUCCAUGGGCCCUGGAGUCUAGUACUUAGGUAGAAACAUGACCGCCAGGGCCGAACACCAGCCCUUGCAGGGCCUCUCUACUGAGUGGAGCUCCAUGCAGAGCCUUUGGGGUAUGAGAGAAACCGGAGACCCGACCCAUGCUCUCUGAGGAGCUCGCAGCGUAUCUGGGUAGCAAGUAAAGCUACAUGAGACCUCAGAAGGCCACUAAACUGCACUCCGGCAAGUCCACAGUACUCUAGCUGUCUUGGGAGAGGAAAGGGGUGACAAAGGACAGGUGGGGUCAGUCAUGGAAGUUUUCAUAAAGGAGGUGAGUGUGGGGAUGGGGGCUGUGUACCACUGCUUUGGGCAAGUUUUUUUGGGCAAAGUUGGAGGAGGGUCCUACGUGCAUAGCUGCUGCUUUCAAAUAGUGCUUCCCCUGAUGACUAUUGUCUGUGUGGGAUCUCUAGGUGUUAGAGGCGGGUGCCUUGCUUGCUUUAGCUCAGCUGUUUGGAACCCUUUGAGUAACAAGACCCUAGCCUCUGAAGUCCGUGUGGGAUCCUCUUAUUUUUUAUAGGUAGAAUGUUGUAAGUGGCCAAACCCAGGUAGGGGUCUGUUCCAGCUGCCUUUGAUUUUUAGACAGCUAACCUAACUGUAUUCUAGAACUUACUCUGUAGCUGGGGCGGGCGUCAGACUUGUAGUGGUCAUCCUUUAUAGGGUUCGGCCUCUCUCUGCUCCCUCAGUCCCUGCUCCCUGUGGCCCAAAGAUUUAUUUAUUAUAAAUAAGUACAAUGUAGCUGUCUUCAGACACACCAGAAGAGGGCAUCAGAUCUCAUUACGGGUGGUUGUGAGCCACCAUGUGGUUGCUGGGAAUUGAACUCAGGAUCUUCGGAAGAGCUGAGCCAUCUCGCCAGCCCGGAACACCUCUUUUGUAUGUCCAAUACUAUCUCCACAUCCUGUGCAAGGCCACACACUGCCUCUUGGUGCAGAUAGCCACAUAACCUUAGUUACUUGCCGGUCUGCCUGCCACUCUCAAAGAUGAGUGAGGCUUGAUUUUGGCAGGCUGGCCUCUGGAGCAUUCUAUAGGUGACAGAUUGCCCCUGCAGUGCCCAGAAGUACUCUAUCCUAAGACUUAUUUUUACUGCCAAGCUAAACUUUCAGGUGCCAGUAAUAGAGUUGGCUUAUGGAAUCCCAGGAAAUACUUGACUGACUUGUUUGUUUGUUUGCUUGGUUUUUGGUUUGGUUUGGUUUUAAAUACCUUCUUUAUUCAGAUGCUCAUGGCCAACUGUGUGACCCAGACACUGCAGUGCCCUUGGUGAGCUUCAUAAACUGACAUCUUUGGUCAGUGUUGUGGCCUCUGUGAGAUAUACCUAGCGUCACUAGCUGUGUCUUUGUCCAAGUGGCGUCUUCCCCUUUGCGGGUGAUGCAUGAAGCUCAUACCUCAGCUCCCCUCCAGCAGAAAGGGCUGCAGUUGCCUGAAGUGCUCCUCUCCUCCUCUUCCUCUACCUGGGAUUAAUAGUUUGCUGUGGGGUGAUCCAGCAGGGGCGGGGCAGGUGGCCCCUUACUGCCUGCUUUGACAUAGUCUGUAGCCCGGUGCCAUUAGGUCCAGAGGGUGGAGAAACAGCCAGUUUCUCUUUCCUUUUCUACCUACUCAGGUCAAAGCUGCCUGAUGGUCUUUAUGAGGUACCCCUUCUCCCUUUCAUAAACAGCAGAGAAGUUAGGGAGAUCACUGUUCUAUCAAGGGAGGACUUGAGAGUCAUGCUUGUAGUUGGAGAAUAUAUUGUUUAACCCUCCAUUUUGAAAAGAAGUGCCUGGGACAUAAAUUGCAAAAUACUUUUGCAUGAACCAGGAGUGGUGGAAUAUGCCUGUAAUCCCAGCACUUGUGAGGCAGAGGCAGGGAUUUCCAGAGUUCAGUGCUAGCCUGUGUUAUAUAGUG
rnacentral:lncRNA from 1 species